rnacentral:misc_RNA from 1 species
AAGUCGUAACAAGGUCUCCGUUGGUGAACCAGCGGAAGGAUCAUUAACACAUCGUUAAUCAUCAAACCAAAUGUGAACCAUACGUCCCUGUUUCACGGUUGUUUCCGAACCACAGUGCAGCAGACAAUACCAUUCCUAGUAGUUAUUACCGACUUCUAGGUUAAGUCCAUCUUACCUAUUAGUCGUUAAUAAUGAACGUAUUCACCAAUUUUAACCCUAAAACUAAAACUUGUCUAAUCUUCUUAAUCUUAUUUACUGCCUCGGUAGUUUAUAAGCUUUACGAAACAUUGAACAACUCUUAGCAAUGGAUAUCUUGGGUCAU